rnacentral:rRNA from 1 species
UACAGAGGGUGCGAGCGUUAAUCGGAAUUACUGGGCGUAAAGCGUGCGUAGACGGCUAUCUAAGUCGGGUGUGAAAGCCCCGGGCUCAACCUGGGAAUUGCAUUCGAGACUGAAUAGCUAGGGUGCGGUAGAGGGAAGCGGAAUUUCCGGUGUAGCGGUAGAAAUGCGUAGAUAUCGGAAGAACAUCAGUGGCGAAAGCGGCUUCCUGGACC